GACGAACGCUGGCGGCGUGCCUAAUACAUGCAAGUAGAACGCAGUUGCGAACGGGUGAGUAACGCGUAGGUAACUGCCUCAUAGCGGGGGACAACUAUUGGAAACGAUAGCUAAUACCGCAUACUGUGAGAUGGACCUGCGUUGUGUUAGCUAGUUGGUGAGGUAAAGGCUCACCAAGGCGACGAUACAUAGCCGACCUGAGAGGGUGAACGGCCUAACUGGGACUGGGACGCAGCACAGGCGCCUACGGGAGGCGGCAGUAGGGGUUCUUCGGCAGUGGACGGAGGUGUGACCGAGCAAGUCGGCGUGAGAGAAGAAGGGUUACGGCUGGUACAGCACUGGUCUUCGAGAAGCGGUAACUACCCAGAAAGGCACGGCUAACUACGUGCCAGCAGCCGCGGUAAUAC
rnacentral:rRNA from 1 species